rnacentral:tRNA from 1 species
GCCUUCGUGGUAUAACGGUAACACACUUGACGCGUAUUCGAGAGAUCCAGGUUCGAGUCCUGGCGAGGGCA